GAUAAACGCUGGCGGCGUGCCUAAUACAUGCAAGUCGAGCGAACGGACGAGAAGCUUGCUUCUCUGAUGUUAGCGGCGGACGGGUGAGUAACACGUGGAUAACCUACCUAUAAGACUGGGAUAACUUCGGGAAACCGGAGCUAAUACCGGAUAAUAUUUUGAACCGCAUGGUUCAAAAGUGAAAGACGGUCUUGCUGUCACUUAUAGAUGGAUCCGCGCUGCAUUAGCUAGUUGGUAAGGUAACGGCUUACCAAGGCAACGAUGCAUAGCCGACCUGAGAGGGUGAUCGGCCACACUGGAACUGAGACACGGUCCAGACUCCUACGGGAGGCAGCAGUAGGGAAUCUUCCGCAAUGGGCGAAAGCCUGACGGAGCAACGCCGCGUGAGUGAUGAAGGUCUUCGGAUCGUAAAACUCUGUUAUUAGGGAAGAACAUAUGUGUAAGUAACUGUGCACAUCUUGACGGUACCUAAUCAGAAAGCCACGGCUAACUACGUGCCAGCAGCCGCGGUAAUACGUAGGUGGCAAGCGUUAUCCGGAAUUAUUGGGCGUAAAGCGCGCGUAGGCGGUUUUUUAAGUCUGAUGUGAAAGCCCACGGCUCAACCGUGGAGGGUCAUUGGAAACUGGAAAACUUGAGUGCAGAAGAGGAAAGUGGAAUUCCAUGAGUAGCGGUGAAAUGCGCAGAGAUAUGGAGGAACACCAGUGGCGAAGGCGACUUUCUGGUCUGUAACUGACGCUGAUGUGCGAAAGCGUGGGGAUCAAACAGGAUUAGAUACCCUGGUAGUCCACGCCGUAAACGAUGAGUGCUAAGUGUUAGGGGGUUUCCGCCCCUUAGUGCUGCAGCUAACGCAUUAAGCACUCCGCCUGGGGAGUACGACCGCAAGGUUGAAACUCAAAGGAAUUGACGGGGACCCGCACAAGCGGUGGAGCAUGUGGUUUAAUUCGAAGCAACGCGAAGAACCUUACCAAAUCUUGACAUCCUUUGACAACUCUAGAGAUAGAGCCUUCCCCUUCGGGGGACAAAGUGACAGGUGGUGCAUGGUUGUCGUCAGCUCGUGUCGUGAGAUGUUGGGUUAAGUCCCGCAACGAGCGCAACCCUUAAGCUUAGUUGCCAUCAUUAAGUUGGGCACUCUAAGUUGACUGCCGGUGACAAACCGGAGGAAGGUGGGGAUGACGUCAAAUCAUCAUGCCCCUUAUGAUUUGGGCUACACACGUGCUACAAUGGACAAUACAAAGGGCAGCGAAACCGCGAGGUCAAGCAAAUCCCAUAAAGUUGUUCUCAGUUCGGAUUGUAGUCUGCAACUCGACUACAUGAAGCUGGAAUCGCUAGUAAUCGUAGAUCAGCAUGCUACGGUGAAUACGUUCCCGGGUCU
rnacentral:rRNA from 1 species